rnacentral:rRNA from 1 species
GACAGAGGGUGCAAACGUUGUUCGGAAUUACUGGGCGUAAAGCGCGUGUAGGCUGCUUCGCAAGUCGGAUGUGAAAGCCCUGGGCUCAACCCAGGAAGUGCAUUCGAAACUGCAGAGCUGGAGUCCUGGAGAGGAAGGCGGAAUUCUCGGUGUAGAGGUGAAAUUCGUAGAUAUCGAGAGGAACACCGGUGGCGAAGGCGGCAUCCUGGACCAACACUGACACUGAGGAGCGAAAGCCAGGGGAGCAAACGGG